UCGCCUGUUUACAAAAAAAAUCGCCUCUUGAAUAACUAUAAGAGGUCCAGCCUGCCCAGUGACUUUGUUCAACGGCCGCGGUAUCCUAACCGUGCGAAGGUAGCGUAAUCACUUGUCUUUUAAAUGGGGACUUGUAUGAAUGGCAUCACGAGGGUUAUACUGUCUCCUUUUUCUAAUCAGUGAAACUAAUCUUCCCGUGAAGAAGCGGGAAUAAACAUAUAAGACGAGAAGACCCUAUGGAGCUUUAAACUCAAUAACAAAUACUAGCCUUACCUCAACCUUCAGAGUAUUAACCUUAAUUUUAGUAUCAUGAUUAUUAGUUUUAGGUUGGGGUGACCGCGGAGUAAAAAUUAACCUCCACAUUGAACGGGACCUGUCCCUGAGCCAAGAACCACAGCUCGAAGCACCAACAAAUUGACAUUAAUUGACCCAAUAUUUUGAUCAACGAACCAAGUUACCCUAGGGAUAACAGCGCAAUCCACUUCAAGAGCUCCUAUCGACAAGUGGGUUUACGACCUCGAUGUUGGAUCAGGGUAUCCCAGUGGUGCAGCCGCUACUAAAGGUUCGUUUGUUCAACGAUUAAACCCU
rnacentral:rRNA from 1 species